UCGUAGCACUUCCUGGCAUUCCCCCAGUUCCGUCCCGGCGUAGUGGUAGAGGCCGUUGGGGGUGCGCUAUGCUCCACUGGUUGCUCGCUGCGGGUCGUUUCUGUGUGGCGUCUAUUCCUCUGCUCCAUGCUGUGUCGUCCAGGACUGCCUGAUUGGUGCUGAACCUACGGUGGUGGGUGGUCCUGGUGGCGGUGUCCCUUUUGUGUUGUUUGCACAUCGGGUGGAUUUUUGUCCCAGUUUUGGUUUGCUUCACGUGUGGU